AUUGAGACUUUACUUUAUUGCCGAUCGUGUUAUUUUGUCUAAUUUCUUCGACUAAACGAUAUUCAAAGCUCAGUGUAUCGAUAGAUUCAGCCAAAUAAGGAAUCGUUAGUGAUCCAAAAACUAAAAAGUGUUUCUAAAUACACAAUAUGCUGAUAAAGUGUUUCUAAAUACACAAUUUGCUGAUAAAUAUGUACAAUUGAUUCGUUUUUUAAGCUACUAGUACUAUAACAAUAAUUCUGUAACAAUCAAAAGCUCCACUCUUAUCGAAAGUGCCUUCACAAGAAGGUGGUGCGAUCAGGCGAUAAAAAGAAAAAGGCGCGCACUCAGACAAGAAAGUCCGCGAAAUCAAGAGAUGUUUUCAAAAAUGAAAAGAGUGUCCGGAAAUUAAGCAUGUACAGUGUAUAUUAGCUGCGGCUAAUCGAAAUCCAUUCCAUCUAGUGUUUUUUCUUUUUGGAAGAUGAAUAGAGGGAAGCCGCCUUGUUGUCUAGGAUUUUGAACCAGAAACUUUUACUACAAACAACAUUCCUGUUCAACAUAACUCUGUGAAUCCUGUUUCGCCAGGGUGUCCGUCUAGUCAAGAGAGGCGGCCUGUCAAUAUUUUUCAGGAGCUGGGGAGCAGCCCAGCUAGCGGCUGUCAACCUUCAACUUUUGGCGACCAUGGCCGGCACCGGUGCCGAUGCCGAUGCCGAUGCCGAUGCUGCUUCUGCUGUGCUGUUUGCCGUUCGUCCAGGGCAAUCACGUGCCCAGUCGACUUGAGCCCCGAGCACGCCCCAGGGAGCUGUCAAACGGCUUUGGACCGUUUCGCGUUCCACUAAAGAAAAUUUCAAAUUAUUUUCACUUCCCUCCUGCCCCUUUGGUGCUGCCACUACCACUGCCACUGCCUUUGCGCCUCUCUGUUGAGAGUUUUUGUUAUUCCUGCUGCCGGCUAAUUAGUAAAACUCUCUGCAAAAUUAUGCUCACUCCCAAAUGCCACCCCCACCCAUGCUGCCGCCGCUUUCCUUAUCUAAAUAAACACCCAACCAUUGAGUGGGCGGGUUGUUGGGGCUGGUCUGGGCUGCUGGGGCU